rnacentral:rRNA from 1 species
UACGUAGGGGCAAGCGUUGUCCGGAAUUAUUGGGCGUAAAGAGCGUGUAGGCGGUCCGGUAAGUCAGCUGUGAAAGUCAAGGGCUCAACCCUUGAAAGCCGGUUGAUACUGUCGGGCUAGAGUCCGGAAGAGGCGAGUGGAAUUCCCGGUGUAGCGGUGAAAUGCGUAGAUAUCCGGAGGAACACCGGUGGCGAAGGCGGCUUCCUGGACCGACACUGACGCUGAGGCGCGAAAGCUAGGGGAGAAACGGG